ensembl:lncRNA
GGACGGGGCGGGGAGCCAGGCUCACCAGUAUGUGAAGGCUGCAGAGGACCCACCAGGAUCCCCUUGGAGGACAACAAUUGGACUACGUGAGGUCUUUGGAAGCACUACAGUUCUGAAUGCCUUCCAAAGAAUGAAGCCCACCCCCCAUGGCUCAGCUAGUGGUGUUCAGCGGACCAGGAACCCCGAGACCUGAAGGAGGAGCCGUGCAUCUGGAGGAACACCAUGAGGCUACCCGCCAAGUAUUACUCACUUCCACGAGGAGGGGGGCUGGCGGCUGGAGGACCUCCCUACUGGUGGGGCGAGUGACACCCGGCUCUACAGGGAUGACCACGGAGGAGAGAGAGCUGAAGCUGUGCAUCCUGAAGGGGAAUCUGCUACUGAUGGCGCGGUUGAAGUGCUGUGUUCAGUCUGGGAAGGACACACCUGAGCUGUUUCACCCUGAGCUGCUUCACACCUGCAUCUCUAACCAGCUGAAGCCCUUCAGUGACCAACAAAAGGUGCCUCAUCACAGCUUAUCAUCACUGGCCUGAGGAUUCAUCUGCUACACUCACACAACGUGACUUUGUCACCAUCUGCUGCACGUUGGGAUGCUAACGUGUUCCGCCAGGGGUUCCUUCCUUCCCGCAGUGGGAGUGUUCCUUGUCCUUCAAGGAGUUAGGGUUCAGUGUUAGGGACAGAGUUAGGGAGAGAUGGUUGAGUCCUGG